CCUACGGGUGGCAGCAGUGGGGAAUCUUGCGCAAUGGGCGAAAGCCUGACGCAGCAACGCCGCGUGCGGGAUGAAGGCCUUCGGGUUGUAAACCGCUUUCAGUGGGGAACCGGUACCCACAGAAGAAGCCCCGGCCAACUACGUGCCAGCAGCCGCGGUAACACGUAGGGGGCAAGCGUUGUCCGGAUUUAUUGGGCGUAAAGAGCUCGUAGGUGGUUCGAUAAGUCGGGUGUGAAACCUCCAGGCUCAACCUGGAGACGCCACCCGAUACUGCGUGACUAGAGUCCAGUAGGGGAGCGUGGAAUUCCUGGUGUAGCGGUGAAAUGCGCAGAUAUCAGGAGGAACACCAGCGGCGAAGGCGGCGCUCUGGGCUGGACUGACACUGAGGAGCGAAAGCGUGGGGAGCGAACAGGAUUAGAUACCCUUGUAGUC
rnacentral:rRNA from 1 species